UCCUAAUAAUGCAAGUCGAGCGACGGAUAAGGAGCUUGCUCCUUUGAAGUUAGCGGCGGACGGGUGAGUAACACGUGGGUAACCUACCUAUAAGACUGGAAUAACUUCGGGAAACCGGAGCUAAUGCCGGAUAACAUUUGGAACCGCAUGGUUCUAAAGUAAAAGAUGGUUUUGCUAUCACUUAUAGAUGGACCCGCGCCGUAUUAGCUAGUUGGUAAGGUAACGGCUUACCAAGGCAACGAUACGUAGCCGACCUGAGAGGGUGAUCGGCCACACUGGAACUGAGACACGGUCCAGACUCCUACGGGAGGCAGCAGUAGGGAAUCUUCCGCAAUGGACGAAAGUCUGACGGAGCAACGCCGCGUGAGUGAUGAAGGUUUUCGGAUCGUAAAACUCUGUUAUUAGGGAAGAACAAAUGUGUAAGUAACUGUGCACAUCUUGACGGUACCUAAUCAGAAAGCCACGGCUAACUACGUGCCAGCAGCCGCGGUAAUACGUAGGUGGCAAGCGUUAUCCGGAAUUAUUGGGCGUAAAGCGCGCGUAGGCGGUUUCUUAAGUCUGAUGUGAAAGCCCACGGCUCAACCGUGGAGGGUCAUUGGAAACUGGGAAACUUGAGUACAGAAGAGGAAAGUGGAAUUCCAUGUGUAGCGGUGAAAUGCGCAGAGAUAUGGAGGAACACCAGUGGCGAAGGCGACUUUCUGGUCUGUAACUGACGCUGAUGUGCGAAAGCGUGGGGAUCAAACAGGAUUAGAUACCCUGGUAGUCC
rnacentral:rRNA from 1 species